rnacentral:misc_RNA from 1 species
GAUGAAGAACGCAGCAAAAUGCGAUAAGUAAUGUGAAUUGCAGAAUUCAGUGAAUCAUCGAAUCUUUGAACGCACAUUGCGCCCGCCAGUAUUCUGGCGGGCAUGCCUGUUCGAGCGUCAUUUCAACCCUCAAGCACAGCUUGGUGUUGGGACUCGCGUUAAUUCGCGUUCCCCAAAUUGAUUGGCGGUCACGUCGAGCUUCCAUAGCGUAGUAGUAAAACCCUCGUUACUGGUAAUCGUCGCGGCCACGCCGUUAACCCCAACUUCUGAAUGUUGACCUCGGAUCAGGUAGGAAUACCCGCUGAACUUAAGCAUAUCAAUAAGCGGAGGA